rnacentral:lncRNA from 1 species
AGAGGUAGCAGCCGGAGUGAAGUGAAGCGCACGUUGUUGUGGAAUUACACUAUCUUCCUUACCUCAAGAAAAGAAAAUUGGGUGACCACCAAGAUAAAUUGGACCUAUUAACAAACAGCAAACAAACGAAAGGACUAGAGGACAGAAGAGAUGUUCUAGUUUGCUUCCUGUUGCUGGUGCAGACCUUAUGAGGAGAGAAUACUUGACAAUUGCACAUGGCGUGCAAGGAUGCAACUUCCAUCCUCACCAUGAAACUGGAGACCAACUUCACAAAGGCGAAAACUUUUAGAUACAGGAGCAUUCAUACUAGGUUAAUGCUUUGGUCAUUCUCUGAGCACGGACAGUUUGUGCUCAGGCCUGUGGAAGAACGCUGGCUCGAGGAUCUCUGAGACUCUCCUGAGGAUGCUCUGCGACUUCCAUGGAACUGCUGUGUUCAGUGUGCAGAGUGGACUACCUGCCUCAUGCUACUGGUGCUUAAUCCAGCAGAGGCCUCUUCACAGACUGUAGUGGACUGCAGGAUGACAACUUCAUUCACCAUGUCCUUUAAUCACAGAUGAAAACCCACAAGCCCAAGGACCUUGAACUUCAGACUCGAGAACAUGGAGCUGCCAUAACCCAGACCCAGGCCCAGAGAGCAGAGUGAAGAGGAGAGCAAAUUGAAGCUUAGAGAUGAACAUUACCAUCCAGGAUAGGGUCGCGUACAGGCUGGAGACAGAAGAGGGUCCACUGGAGUUGGGAGGAGGGACUGAUGACAAUUUUUCGUGCUUGACUAGGCUUUUUAAAAAGCUACUUCUUAGGCCACUGUCCGGUGCCGGUUCCUUCCAGCAGCCCGCAGAGGCGGCACCGGUGAGUGCAGUCUGCGCGACCGAUGCCUGGUUAAGAUGGAGAAGUUUCUGCAGAUCGCGCCGCACUCUCUGGCCAUCGUUCUGGGCCCGGCCGACAGCUCCGCAGAGGAGAAGCCCGGGACGGUUCAGCCUUCGCCCCAGGUUCCCACCCAACCCCGGCAGCUCGCCCGACACCACAUCGGGUACGAGAUCUUCGCAGAUUUCAAAGCGGAGAACAUGCAACAUUUCUGGAACAAGAAGGUCACAGCCGCGGUGGCCGAGACUUUUUUCCUAGGCUGGAUCGACGAGCAGGUCUUGCUGAUCCAGGGCAAGGAGGAGCAUCUAGAGGCGCUGCGGGAGGGCUGGACGCGCAGGGCUCUGCGACCCCCCUCUGGCUUCCAGAUCCGCUGCUUGGGCUGCUACAUGGAAAUCUAUGACUCCUCUGAAGUUUGUGGUGGGGCGACUUUCUUCUCCCAUCAUGUUGUGGUGUGAAUAGUUAUGCCCCCCCAUAGACUCAUGUUUGGAAUGCUUGGCCAAUAGGGAGUGGCACAAUUAGGAGGUGUGCCUCUGUUGAAUAGGUGUGGCCUUGUUGGAGGAAGCAUGUCACUGUGUAGGUAGGCUUUGAGGUCUCACAUGAUCAAGCAGUUUCCUUUUGCUGCCUGCCGAUCGAGAUAGAGAACUCUCAGCUCCUUAGCCUGUGCUGUGUCUGCCUGUGCUCUGCCAUGCUUUCUGCCAUGAUGAUAAUGGUCUAAACCUCUGAAACUGUAAGCCAGCCCCAAUUAAAUGGUUUCCUCUAUCAGACUUAUCUCGGUCAUGGUGUCUUCACAGCAAUGGAAACCCUAAGACACAGGUAAUGUGGAGGCUUCAUUUUGCACCCCAAAUACUUACAUAUCUAUAAUUCCUAAAGAAGGCAAGAGCUUGACCAGAAGUGAAGCCUUGGCACACAGAGAACUGCUUCCACUCAGGUCAGAGGUCACUUAUAGGACAAAGCACCCUUCUCUUAUCUGUCUGAAAUCUUGACAAGAACCUGAUUGGACCUGCAGAAGUCACCUGUAGUCUCAUAUGCAAAUUUUCAAGUAGAAUUUGACCAAGUGUGGAGAAAAGUUUGAUUUGGGCCAUUAAAAAAAAAUGAAAUCUAGUAAUGAAGAUUUGGACUUAAUUCAGUUUUUAAAAAUAGUGUAUUAAAGUUAAAUAAAAGCCGGUUUUGGUUUUUAUGAGUCUGUUUCACUGCCUGCUUCUCUAAGCUGGCUGGUGCUUUUUGGUUUUUCAGUAUCGCAUUUGGUUAAUACAUUUGUAAUGACAUUGAAAGAGAAAUGGUAUGGGUGUAAGUGAUCAAGUUAAACUGAAAUUUAAAUUUCCUUUACUGAAUAGUUAGGCCCAUGUAGGGGCAUAGGUAAAUAUACUUUCUUAAUUUGGUUUGUACCUUCAAAUUUGGUACAUUUAAUUAAAAAGUAUUAUUAUUAAUUAUUAUUAUUAUUAUUAUUAUU